UACGGAGGAUGCAAGCGUUAUCCGGAAUUACUGGGCGUAAAGCGUGCGCAGGCGGUUUUGUAAGCCAGAUGUGAAAGCCCCGGGCUUAACCUGGGAAUGGCAUUUGGGACUGCAAGGCUUGAGUGCGGCAGAGGAGACUGGAAUUCCUGGUGUAGCAGUGAAAUGCGUAGAUAUCAGGAGGAAUACCGGUGGCGAAGGCGGCAUCCUGGACCGGCAUUGACGCUGAGGAGCGAAAGCUAGGGGAGCAAACGGG
rnacentral:rRNA from 1 species